AGUUGAGCAAGUUGCUGAACUUGAAAGGCUAAUCGACUUGUUUGUUUCGGCUUCUUUUCUCAAGGCUGCAAUGGAAGGACUUCACGGCCAAGCUCUAAGCUUGGACCCCCGCAGGCAAGAAUUGCUCGAAGCUCGCUUCACUGGAGUUGGCGUGACCAGGAUCAACGGUGAAUCAUCCAGCCAGUCUCUUUGCAGCCUGGGCUCCCUUAGCGACAAGGAAGUGGAGGUCGGUUUGCUCCUGUAGGAUGGCAGACGAUCACUUUCCGAGAGACAUGUUGUCGCUCAUUCUUGGGUCGUAAAUUAGGUUUUCAGCCAAUAGCAGGAGAGGAUGUACAUGGAAGUGCCCCAUGAAGAAACAUGAUUACGGAAUUUUUACAAUCAAGUCUCACGGCCCACACCACAAGGUAGGCCUUCUCCAACACUGUUGCAUCACCACGUUUCUUUCUUGUGGCUUUUUUUAUUUUUAUUUGUUGUAGAACUGCGAGGUGACCCAGGCCAGCCCCCACUUGAGGUUGGUGAGCAUGAACUUGAGCGCCUUGGUCCA